rnacentral:rRNA from 1 species
UGAGGAAUAUUGGUCAAUGGGCGCAAGCCUGAACCAGCCAUGCCGCGUGCAGGAUGACGGUCCUAUGGAUUGUAAACUGCUUUUAUACGGGAAGAAACAGCGGAACGUGUUCCGCCUUGACGGUACCGUAGGAAUAAGGAUCGGCUAACUUCCGUGC